AGAGUUUGAUCCUGGCUCAGAACGAACGCUGGCGGCGUGCUUAACACAUGCAAGUCCAACGUGAAAGGGGAGCAAUCCCCCGGUAGGGUGGCGAACGGGUGAGUAAUACAUGGGAAUCUGUCCUGGAGAUGGGGAUAUCCUUCUGAAAGGAGGGUUAAUACCGAAUAUCGUCCGGGUGACGGGAGUCACUUGGGGAAAGGGAGGCCUCUGGCAACAUGCUUCCGCUCCGUGAGGAGCCCAUGGCCCAUCAGCUAGUUGGUAGGGUAACGGCCUACCAGGCAAAGACGGGUAGCUGGUCUGAGAGGACGAUCAGCCACACUGGCACUGAGACACGGGGCCAGACUCCUACGGGAGGCGAC
rnacentral:rRNA from 1 species